AUGGUUAGAGGCAGGAGAGCUUGUCCUGGCGGCGCGGGCUGCUUCGGAUGGGAAAGGUCUCCGGGGUCACAGCUCCAAGAGACGUCGCUUCCUCGCGGCCGGGCUUCGGGGCAGCGGCUAAAUGGCAGCAGGCGGCUCCUCGCCGCCGGGGUGCGYGCGGGCGAGCGCGGCGCCCGGCCUCUGGGGUGGAAAAUUGCUUUCCUGGAAGCCGCCCAUGGACCCGGGCCCUCCGUCCCGCCGGGGAUUAGACUGUUACCAGGGCCGUGUCUGCGGGACGGGCUCUGCUCCGGCGCCGGCCUGGUGAGGAGGAGGAGGAGGAGGAGGAGGAGGAGGAAGAGGGGAAAACAUGCCGCGGUGGGAGCCGGAGCCCCGACGUCGGAGCGUGCCGAGUCCUGCCCCCGCGUGCCCGCUCCUGCAGCCCCCGGCGCAGCAUCGCCUCCGCGGGGCCCUGCGAGUUCGGGUGCCGCCGCGGGAUGUAGGGGCGGCCGCCGGCGCCGUCUCACCGCAGGGGAAACUGAGGCAGGGCCUGGCGCCUUGCGCAGGGGCCGGCUGCUGCGCUGGGGCUCAGCCCCGCUCUUCGGGCUCGCGCUGGCGUUUCGGGGCACGACGCAGCCGGCUCGGGUCUGUGCAUGCCGCUUCCGCCCAGRGGGGCUCUCGCGCGCGGCGCGAUGCAGCCGGCAGGAGCCGGCGCUGCCGUGCCGUGCCGUGGCCCCGGGGCGUCUGCAGCUGACCCAGCCGCACGCAGGCUUUGCCCUGCGCCGGGAGCCGCGGAGCCGCUGCCGGGCUCUGCGGGAAGCCCCGGGCUCUUCCCUUCCGCACACGUCAGCCGCAGCUCGCGGCAUCCCGCUCUGUUCCGCUCCGCUCGGCACGGUGGUGGCGGCGGGGAGGCGAGCCACCGCCRCAGCAUCCCCCGAGCCCGGCGCGGGUCCCGCUGCCGGCGGCGUGCGAUGGCUGGCGAGGCGGCCGCAGGCGCUCGGCAAACGUGAGUCAGCAAAGGAGCCGGGCAGGGCUGCUCCCGCCUCCGCGGCGGCAGCGCCGGGACCCCGCGGGCGACCCCGGCCACGUCCCUGCUGCGGGGACGGCGACCCUGCUCGGGCCUUUGGGGAACCAGGCGCUCGGGGGCCACGCGCGGAGCCGGGUGGGCAAUGCAACAGGCUGCGUGCUGCAUCCCGGCCGCGCCGGGCUCGGCACGCUCCUGUUCCACUCCUGCUGGCUGGAACCAGGGCGCAGGCGGGUGCCCGGCGCUGGAGCAGUGGCAUCGCCCCACUGCACGGCUGUGGCAUCGCUCCGCAGGCACCGCCGGGGUUGCUCAUGGCCGCGGGGGCCUCCCUGCCCCUCCGCCGAGUCCCCGGCGCCCGUCAGCGCCGUUCGCUACGCGCGCGAUGCGGUGGGUCCCGCGGGGCGCUYGCCCGCCCGGCUCUUCCUGCCAGGCCGGUCGCUGCACCGAGCGGGCCGUUCUCAGCGAGGCCCGUUUGCCCGUGCGCCCCGGUGCCGCUGGCGUGGACGGGCUGCCUGGCCUCCGAAGCGAUGCCGGUGCUGCCCCCGCCGUGCCGAGUGCCUCCACCGCGCCGGCAGGGAGAGGGCAGCGCCGGCCCCAGCGAGCAGCACCCGCCGUCGCAGCCCCGGGCGCGUAGCGGCUGGUCACGGCUCUCGCGUAGCCGCUUUUGCAGGCAGGGAAACUGA
ensembl:lncRNA